AGCGGGAAGUAGUUUACUACUUUGCCGGCGAGCGACGGACGGGUGAGUAAUGUCUGGGAAACUGCCUGAUGGAGGGGGAUAACUACUGGAAACGGUAGCUAAUACCGCAUAACGUCUUCGGACCAAAGUGGGGGACCUUCGGGCCUCACGCCAUCGGAUGUGCCCAGAUGGGAUUAGCUAGUAGGUGGGGUAAUGGCUCACCUAGGCGACGAUCCCUAGCUGGUCUGAGAGGAUGACCAGCCACACUGGAACUGAGACACGGUCCAGACUCCUACGGGAGGCAGCAGUGGGGAAUAUUGCACAAUGGGCGCAAGCCUGAUGCAGCCAUGCCGCGUGUGUGAAGAAGGCCUUCGGGUUGUAAAGCACUUUCAGCGAGGAGGAAGGCCAAUAACUUAAUACGUUGUUGGAUUGACGUUACUCGCAGAAGAAGCACCGGCUAACUCCGUGCCAGCAGCCGCGGUAAUACGGAGGGUGCAAGCGUUAAUCGGAAUUACUGGGCGUAAAGCGCACGCAGGCGGUUUGUUAAGUCAGAUGUGAAAUCCCCGCGCUUAACGUGGGAACUGCAUUUGAAACUGGCAAGCUAGAGUCUUGUAGAGGGGGGUAGAAUUCCAGGUGUAGCGGUGAAAUGCGUAGAGAUCUGGAGGAAUACCGGUGGCGAAGGCGGCCCCCUGGACAAAGACUGACGCUCAGGUGCGAGAGCGUGGGGAGCAAACA
rnacentral:rRNA from 1 species